UUGAACGCUGGCGGCAUGCCUAACACAUGCAAGUCGCACGCGAAAGGGGGCAACCCUGAGUAGAGUGGCGGACGGGUGAGUAACGCGUAGGAAUCUACCUGGUAGUGGGGGACAACCCGGUGAAAACCGGGCUAAUACCGCAUACGAUCCACGGAUGAAAGCAGGGGACCGCAAGGCCUUGCGCUAUCAGAUGAGCCUGCGUCGGAUUAGCUAGUUGGUGAGGUAACGGCUCACCAAGGCGACGAUCCGUAGCUGGUUUGAGAGAACGACCAGCCACACCGGAACUGAGACACGGUCCGGACUCCUACGGGAGGCAGCAGUGGGGAAUAUUGGACAAUGGGGGCAACCCUGAUCCAGCAAUGCCGCGUGUGUGAAGAAGGCCUUCGGGUUGUAAAGCACUUUCGGUGGGGACAAACAAGGCGGAGCUAACAUCUCCGUCCCUGAUGGUACCCAAAGAAGAAGCACCGGCUAACUCUGU
rnacentral:rRNA from 1 species